CUCUCCCGGCUCAGGGGUUCCUUGCCUA
rnacentral:piRNA from 1 species